rnacentral:lncRNA from 1 species
AGAAGAUUGGAGUUACAAGGCGUUACAUAACAAUUGCAUGCCUAUAAUUAGCCUAGUUAUUGUUGGAGUUGCAAUUGUGAUUACCACAUAAUUAACCUAGUUAUUGUGGGAGUUACAAUUGUAGUUAUUGUAUUGUAACUUAUCAUUGAUUUCUUUGGCUAUAAAUACCAAAGGAACUCUUCUUUGUGGACAUCAAGAGUUGUAAUCAAACAUUUCAGAAUUGAGUUGAGAGUGUUUUGGCUUUCUUUUUACUUUAUGCACAAGGUGUUGAUUUGGAAUACAAUUGUUAUCACUUGUAU